AGAGUUUGAUCCUGGCUCAGAACGAACSCUGGCGGCGUGCUUAACACAUGCAAGUCGAACGUGAUCCGGAGCUUGCUCCGGUGAAAGUGGCGCACGGGUGAGUAACGCGUGGAUAAUCUGCCCUGGUAUCUGGGAUAACAUCUCGAAAGGGGUGCUAAUACCGGAUAAGCCUACGGACUCCUCGGAGUCUGCAGGAAAAGGAGGCCUCUAUUUAUAAGCUUCCGUAUCAUGAUGGGUCCGCGUACCAUUAGCUAGUUGGUGGGGUAAUGGCCUACCAAGGCGACGAUGGUUAGCUGGUCUGAGAGGAUGAUCAGCCACACUGGAACUGAGACACGGUCCAGACUCCUACGGGAGGCAGCAGUGGGGAAUUUUGCGCAAUGGGGGAAACCCUGACGCAGCAACGCCGCGUGAGUGAUGAAGGCUUUCGGGUCGUAAAGCUCUGUCAGAGGGGAAGAAAUGAGUCUGGCUAAUAUCCAGAUUUCUUGACGGUACCCUCAAAGGAAGCACCGGCUAACUCCGUGCCAGCAGCCGCGGUAAUAC
rnacentral:rRNA from 2 species